GGAGGCGUGACCGAGUGGAUUAAGGUGCCGAUCUCGAAAAUCGGUUGGGCGCAAGCCCUCAGAGGUUCGAAUCCUCUCGCCUCCG
rnacentral:tRNA from 1 species